GUAUAUCCCAUUUAAAUGCAGGGCGCCAAAGGAACCCGAAUAUUCACCCAAAAAAGAGCCCAGGCGCACACAGGGCGAGGACUUGCCGCGCUGGGGGAGGCGAGGACACAGCUCAGCCCCCUCCUCCCCAGCCGGGCAGCCUCAGCUUUGCACAAAACCUAGAAACUGAUGACCUGUCUCAACAUUUUUUUCUGAACCCAAGUGGCGUUAGCUUUCAUUUUGCAUUCUGACUUGAAGAGAGAAUGCCAGCAAGAGUGAUCAGUUCAGUGGGCUGCCCCUCCGCCUUUUAUUUUGCCUCAGCUUUCCUUCCAGAGCCCCUUGGUCUUAAAACAAGGUUGGCUAAACAAUUCCCUAUACAGGAGAGAGAGGAGAGACCCUGAAACACACGCCACCUAUCUUUGUGGGGAGGGAUAAUUGAAGAGCACCAAACGCUCUCCUUCACCCUUCAAGCUGACAAUUUCUGCAACUCUUAAAAGCACCCCAGCAGAGAUGCAUCCUCCAGAUAAAAUGCUCUGAUCUUCGCUGGAUUGGCACAGCACUUCAGCCUCUCUCAGACAUUAUUUUAGCGUGGUGUAGAAGGUUGCAUUCUCCCAGGACAAAGACACGAAGAGAUGGAACGUAGCCCUUCUGACUUUAUAUUACUUAUCUAACUAAGGAUUGCUGGAUGGAGUCUAUAGCUCAUAAACUGGAACUUCAAGCUUACCCUUCAUAUUGAAGAUGGAGGAAAAGCUGUGUGAGGCAACCCAAAGAGGAAUGAAGUUAAAAGUUUGAAGAACAUCAAGAGGAGAAAAAAAAAAAACCUGAGCUGCAAAUAAAUAUGCAGUGUUGAGAUUUCUUACGACUACCAGUUAACAAAACCAGAAAGACUAUGUCUGGUGAGAUAUGCAUGCGAAGCAGAGAAAGUAGAUUGCCACAUUACGAGAUGGAGAAAAGGUUCCAAGUUUUCAGUGUCCAAAAGUGUGUUGAAAUCCAGAAAAUCAUUAUGCUUAUAAUUGUUUGUGAAACCGCUCUGUGCCAUUUGUAUAGGAGAGAAAUGCACUCAAAUAAUAAAAAAGGUUUAAAUUUGGGGAAUAAAAGGAGACAAAAUUUAAUGGAAACUGUUUAAGAGAGGAAAGUCAGCAUCCAGAUGGGAAACAGUGAGGCCUUAUUCAGCACCUAAAGUGAUGGCGUAGGUUGUACCGGGAACUGUGAGAGACAGAGCCAGACACACAGGGAAGGAAAAAACCUGUUAACUAGUAUCAGCCAGUUGAGAGAGCAGAAUUUAGACUAAGGACAAUUCAUGGGUAUGCAUUGACUUUAGAUGGCUUGAUCCAGUGUAUAAUGUAAGUCUGCAAGGUGUAGAAGAUUUCCAGCUCAAAUUGGGGCUCUACAGUUAGUGAGAGAGAAACCAGCAAAAUACGCCUAAAAGAACGGACUUGAACCUUCGGGUUUGGUUUUGGUAGAUUUAUUCAGACAUCAGGCUCUAGGAACAGGGGAAGUAAAAGACAUUUUCUGUGGCAUUUGUUGACAAAACUGUAAAUACCUAUAGUUUAAAUCCUUAGAUUUUAGUGAGAGUUUGCAGUCAUGGUCUAAAUGUGAGGUUUCUUCUGGGAACUGGUAAAAGCAAAACAAUGUUAAGUUUGUGUAGUGGUAACCACUGUGCUGUAUUGGAGCCCUUCACUGUUGUGCUGCUUCCUGUGUUAAUAUAAGGAAAUGAUUGAUAAAAAUAUGCAUAAGAAAAAGCGAGUUCUCAUAGCUUUGACUAAUACUUAUGAAGGCAAAUCCUGAUCUUGCUCUUGGAAGACGGUCCACUGAAAUCGGUGUAGUACAUAUUCAGCAAGACCAACAAACUUUGAUCCAUAGUUUAAACAAGCUAUUUGAAGCAGCUGGGAGAGAACCUGGAUUUGAAAGUGGAAAAACUAUCUAUGUUCAAGGCCAACUCUUAACUGAUGCAAAAUUUAAUUUAAAUUUGAAGGCUGAGAGCACACAACACGCCCUUAAUGAAACCAAGCAAACUUCAGUGCAGUUACCCUGAGCAACAAAGCAAUCAUUAAAGAAUUUGAGUGAAAUAAAAUAGUCAACGGUCCAGAUGCUGGUCUUCAUUAUACUGGUGGAAAGCUAAAGGAGGUCCAUUCAGACCCGGGCAGUUGCUCCAGAUUUAUACAGGAAUUAUUUCUAUCAGAAACUGGAACAAAUAUCCGGGUUCCUGCUUGGGAGGCUGGACUUCAUAUCUGGACGUUCUGAAGUUUCAGGUCACUGAAGUUGAGACAUUGGAGGGUUGACGAGGAAUAUUCUGAAAAGCUUAUAAAUGACUUUGACCAGAAUCACGAAGACGUUUUAGGUAUCUAGGGCUAAUCUACA